UAGCUGGGUUUAAGAGCAUGGGAUGUUUGAGCAGACUGCGCCUCCCUGCGGCUGGGGGAGGAGCGGUUGUCUAGCGGGCUGGAGCUUUCUGCGCUGGUUAGCCAGGCAGAACUGGAGCCCGCCCUAUGCUGGGACCUCUCCGCGCUCCCUGGGCUGGGGGUGGGGGUGGGGCCCCAGGGCUGGUUUCAUGAGAAACUGACUCUGCAAUGAGGAUUACGCCGAUAACGGACUGCGGAGCCAUUCACAAAUAUCCUAUCUGAUCCUCAACUACCCCGAGGGGAGUCAGAAGUUGAAAGUAGAAAAGAUUUCAUCAAACUUACAUCAACUAAGAGGACCAUAAGGGAGGAAUUUUGCCCUGGGACUCCUUUUCUCAGCUCUGCUGAGUGGCUAUCAUAAUUGCCUCAAUCCUUGCCAGCCACAAUACUAGAAUAAUCUGGAGUCCUUGAGAUGCCUCAUCCUGAUCCUCCAUCAGCUUUACAUAGCUCCUCCUCUCCUGCAACAGACUUGGCUUCUUCCCAGAAACCCACUCAAGAUCAAGCACAGAUCACUAGAACCUCAGGAACUCUGGGGAGUCUACCUGCCUUGCUGGAAAGAUACCUAGUUUCCAUGGUAAUAACUCUGUGGGUGGGACAAAUGCAGAUUACACAGAAUAACUAAGUAUUUUUUUUUAAAAGAUCCACCAAAUGCACAAGUUUAGGGAACAAAUGGAACAGAAUACUUUUAUAUUAUGUACAGCUUGCUUUUCUUUUUAAGGAGGCAAUAAAUUCAAUCUAUACCUUU